GGGGACAUAGCUCAGCUGGGAGAGCGCUUGCAUGGCAUGUAAGAGGUCGUCGGAUCAAUCCCGAUUGUCUCCACCA
rnacentral:tRNA from 1 species